rnacentral:lncRNA from 1 species
CAUCCCCGACUCUGGCUGCAGGAAGACUUCAUUCGGACUCCUACGGGAGCCGGACUUCGCCCCCGACUUUAAUUGCAGACAGACUUUGUCCGGACUCCUACGGGAGCCGGACUUCGCCCCCAACUUCAAUUGCAGGUAGACUUCACCCGGACUCCUAUGGGAGCCGGACUUCGCCCCCGACUUCAAUUACAGGUAGACUUCACCCGGACUCCUACGGGAGCCGGACCUCGUCCCCGACUCCGGC